GGACUUAUGAUGAGCUGUGUUCACUGAGCAUGAUGACAUGACACUCAAAAUGAUUACUCUGAAGUCU
ensembl:snoRNA Snord64 small nucleolar RNA SNORD64